UCCGUAGGUGAACCUGCGGAAGGAUCAUUAACACUAAUCCAAUUCACCUUAACCAAGCCUUCAGUGCAGUAAUCGUGCCGCCAGGGAAACUUGGCCGGCAUUGUUACCGCUCUACAAAACUAAUCGCAAAAGGAGCCUAACUAAGCUUAACCAAUAAAUCCAAAUUCUCAACGAUGGAUAUCUUGGUUCCCAUAACGAUGAAGAACGCAGCGAAGUGCGAUAAGCAAUGCGAAUUGCAGAACCGUGAGUCAUCAGAUUUUUGAACGCAACUGGCGCCGAUUGGCAUAUCCAGCCGGCAUGCUUGUUUCAGUGUCUUUUUCUCAUCACCCAAAUCUUAAUGCGAGAGAUACCCUUCUCUUGUACAGUACGAAAGCACUCUGAGCCCUGCAGAGUGGCUUGCGUUCGAUGAGCACACUCAAUGCAGCAGUCACAUUUCUCAAUGUGAACUCAUUGAGAGUAGAGUCAGCGCAGUUC
rnacentral:rRNA from 1 species